UCUUUAAGUAUUAUAUUUUAAGUCCAAUCUGCUCACUGAUUAUUAAAGAGCCGCAGUAUUUGGACUGUGCAAAGGUAGCAUAAUCAAUAGUUUUUUAAUUGAAAACUUGUAUGAAAGAUUAGAUGAAAAAAUAAUUUUCUUUUUUUUAACUAAAUUUAAUUUAAAUUUUGAGUGAAAAUUCUUAAAUAUUUUAAAAAGACGAGAAGACCCUAUAGAUUUUUAUUAUUAAUAAGUUCAUUUCAUAAAUUUGGGCUAAAAAUAAUUUAAUUGGGGUGAUUUUGUAAUAUAAAAAACUUAAAAUAUAAAAACCAAAAAAUAAUUGAAUUUUUUGAUCUAAAAUUUUUUAUAAAUAAAAUAAAUUACCUUAGGGAUAACAGCGUAAUUUUAUUUAAGAGUUCAUAUCUAUAAUAAAGUUUGCGACCUCGAUGUUGAAUUAAGAUAAAUUAUUGAAGCAGAAAUUAAUAUAUUUUAGUCUGUUCGACUAUUAAAUUC
rnacentral:rRNA from 1 species